CCUACCGCAAGGUGGGAUACGAAGGAAACCGAAGGCAAAACUCCAGAUCCUAUGAACAGGAACCGCAUACGAAGCAGCCACAUCUGGGCGGCAAUGAAAUCCAAAUCCCGAUAGUCACCCGGAAGGUGUAGAAGCAUAUGCGGCGGGUAUAGGGGAGGAAGAGUCCCGCU
rnacentral:ncRNA from 1 species